UACAGGGGGUGCAAACGUUGCUCGGAAUCAUUGGGCGUAAAGCGCACGUAGGCGGUUCGUUAUGUCGGAUGUGAAAGCCCUUGGCUUAACCGAGGAAGUGCAUCCGAAACUGGCGAGCUAGAGUACGAAAGAGGAUCGCGGAAUUCCCGGUGUAGAGGUGAAAUUCGUAGAUAUCGGGAGGAACACCGGUGGCGAAGGCGGCGAUCUGGGUCGAUACUGACGCUGAGGCGCGAAGGCGUGGGGAGCGAACGGG
rnacentral:rRNA from 1 species